UGGCAUUUGGACAUCUUUGUCCCCCUACACUUGAGUCAUGCUCUGUCCGUGCUCAGGGCUGCGCCUGUUUUCAGUGCAUUCACAUUUCUAUCACUUUGAGGUCUGGGCUCGGCCCAGCAGUGGGAUGGGUAGAUUGGGAGGCCCAGGAUCUGGACUGGAUCUGUCAGCUGGAGUGUGGCAGGCGCUUGAGGAAUGAGCAGCAGCAGGUAGCAGGACAGCACCUGGUCUGACUAAGAGAAGACAGUCUCCGGGAAGAGCAGAGCAAUGACUCAGGUUAUAGACAAGGUUACAGUGAGUCUUGAAGGACUAACAUGAUGUCGCAGGAUGCCCUGCGAGGCAGGCGGAGCCCUACUGUAAUAGAAAUCCAGGGAAUUAGCAUCAGAUAAGCAUCAGCUGGUUGCAGGGCACCAAUCACUAGACUGUGCCUCUUGGGCAGACUCUGGUCUUGGGGGUAGGACAGUACCAGCGGGAAGAAGGCAAAUGCCCAGGUUUGCGUGGAGAGGGAGCCAGGCAGACGUAAGCACAUCAGAGACCAAGUCAAACCUGUCAUCAGAACCAGCUCACAGGCUCCUGUAGCCUAGAAGAAAGAGUGGGUUGGGAGUAAUCCUGGAAUGUUGAUCUUCAAGGUCAAAUGCCCCUCUACAAGGUCAGGGGUUGGUCCUAAAGACCAAAGUUCCAGGUCACACAUGGCAAAAGCCCUAAACCCAGGGAAGUGGCUUCAAUCUGCGCUCUCCACGGUCAGGAAGAGGGCCUUCAUUCACGUGGCAAACAUCUUCUGAGCACUCAGAUGUGUCAGGCGCUGAGUCACAAUGGAGAAUAGUCCCCGCCCUCAAGGAGCCCUGAGAAACAAGCCUCCUUUGACCGACUGUUGGUGAGCAACCACUGAAGCAGGAUUCUUUACAGCACCUCUGGCGCAAUCCUCACAGACUGGAGACCAGCCUCCACGCAGGACCUGCCGACACACUUCGUUACGCUCUGCACAGCAAAGCACAUACGCAGUAAAGUGCGCAAGUCUUGAGGAAACAUCUUGAUGGCUUUAUAAACCCAUCAACACAGUGUUUUAAAAGAGCAUCUUUCUCAGCUGAGGUCAUAGUCACAGGGAGAGGUGACUACAGAAGAACCGUUAGAGAGAUGCCACAGUGUUGGCUAUAAAGAUGGAGGGAGGGCCGCGAGCCCCGGAAGUCUAGCAGCCUCUAGGAGCUGGAGAAGGUGAGGAAGCAGAUCCUGCCCCAGAGACUCCGCAAUGGCCCCAGCCCUGCUGAGACCCUGACUUCAGCCCAGUCGGACUUUUGUCAAACUGCUGACCUACUGUCAGUCAGUUAUUAACUUUUCUCGUGAAAAAAGUCCCUGGAAUGUAAAAAUUUAUUCCGAGCAACAGCACACACCAAACCUCCCUCACCGCUGCCGGCUUUCCAUCUCAGAUUCUGAUGGUGUGGAGACGAAAGGCUGAGGGCUCUCCCGGAGCUCACCUUCCAUCUGCGAAAGCCACUGCCGGGACAAUUCUUUCCCCAGAGAGAAGGCAUCCUCUUGGGCACAGAAGCGAGAUUGUCUAACAGUGUCCCAGAGCUCUCCGUACCUCAGUUUCCCGAUCUGCGCCUGCCAUACAUGGUGGUCCUACUGCUGGUUUGAAAAGUAUGCUACAAAUAUGAAGAGAUAAUCAGCAAGGCUCCUUGGAUAAGGUUAUUAUAUUCAAGUCUUGCCAAAAAAUGUAAGAAAAAAAACUCCAAUUUGAUGGGAUCCAGAGGAACAAUUAUGCUUUCUAAAAAUAAGAUGAGCCGAAGCUAAGGAAAUGAAAACGUUUCUAAAGAAGAAGGUCAGGACUUCUUUUGUGGCCUCCUUUCAUCGCUGGGUUAUUCACUGUAAUAGUAGCCUGCCAUUUCAAACUAUGACUCAGGGGCCUGGUCAUGGGUUACAGAGCAUUUCAUCUGUGGUCACCCCACCUGCCCACGAGAAAUUGAUGGUUAGCGACUACGGAGCAGGUUACUCACUGAAUAUUAUUCUCCACCGUAACCUCCUGACCCUUGCCUCAUCGAAAAGAUUGGUGCUAUUCUGCUUUUACCUACAGAGAAAGAGCAAGGAGGAGAUAAAAUAGGACCUUGAUAUUCGGGGUUGUGGCUCAUUUCUGAAGGUCGGACAUGAAAAGCUGUUUCGAAUUUUGCCCCAUUCGUUCUUAAAACCGCAGCCCAGGAAUUUAUAAGCAUAGCUGCCCUUUAUCUCUCCCAAGAAUGAAAUUGCUUUCUCCAAUAGAGUUUAAAGGGAUGAAUUAAUUGGUGUUUUUGGCAGGAGUACUCUAUAAUUGCAAAGUACUCUGAGUAUCACCAUAUAGUUUUUUCCUUAGAUGGUCCAUUAGGAGGAACUAUGGCAUUCCCAAAGCUAUUCUUUAAUUAGGUCAGCAGCAUCUGCCAAGAAUCCGCUCUCCUCUCAGACCAGGUUUAAUCACAGUGACAAGUGACUUUCAAGUUUAUACCCACACACUCUUAGAUUUCUGAUUUGCCCUAGAAGAAGGUUCUGAUCACAGUGUUCUGAGCGCUGGCCCCUGGGCCUGACUUCCCUGUCUGUCUGGAUUUGGGAUUUUUGGCCUGCCCUUACCUUGUGACUUGCCCCCCUGGAUUGCUGACCCAUUCUUGACCUCUGACAACAGCACGCUCCUUAACAUCUGUUCUACCUGCAUAGAGCCUGGUCUUCCGCCCGAUUCUUAAUUCUGAUUAUUAGGCUCCUGGACCAGGCCAAUUCUCACAGCCUAAGGAGGAUGAAGAUGUCCUUAGACUAAAAUGGCCAAGACCAGAGCUCAUGAAUGACAAGGACAAACAACCCAAGGACUCAGUGAUCAUACAAAUGUCCAAAUGGGGGGCACAUGAAUUGCUGUAAGGCCUUAGAUUUCACAUAUUAUAUAUAUGAGGUUCAUAUAUUACAGUUAGUUACAGGACACUAAUGAGAGACAGACUUUUCAAACCUAGGUCACAGAACACUGAGCAUAGCCCUCAAAAUGCACCCUGGAUCACACAGCAAAAGAUACGCAGUCACGGAAUUGCUGCUGGGCCAAUGUGUCAAUCACGC
ensembl:lncRNA